rnacentral:rRNA from 1 species
AGAGUUUGAUCAUGGCUCAGAUUGAACGCUGGCGGCAGGCCUAACACAUGCAAGUCGAACGGUAACAGGAAGAAGCUUGCUUCUUUGCUGACGAGUGGCGGACGGGUGAGUAAUGUCUGGGAAACUGCCUGAUGGAGGGGGAUAACUACUGGAAACGGUAGCUAAUACCGCAUAACGUCGCAAGACCAAAGAGGGGGACCUUCGGGCCUCUUGCCAUCGGAUGUGCCCAGAUGGGAUUAGCUAGUAGGUGGGGUAACGGCUCACCUAGGCGACGAUCCCUAGCUGGUCUGAGAGGAUGACCAGCCACACUGGAACUGAGACACGGUCCAGACUCCUACGGGAGGCAGCAGUGGGGAAUAUUGCACAAUGGGCGCAAGCCUGAUGCAGCCAUGCCGCGUGUAUGAAGAAGGCCUUCGGGUUGUAAAGUACUUUCAGCGGGGAGGAAGGGAGUAAAGUUAAUACCUUUGCUCAUUGACGUUACCCGCAGAAGAAGCACCGGCUAACUCCGUGCCAGCAGCCGCGGUAAUACGGAGGGUGCAAGCGUUAAUCGGAAUUACUGGGCGUAAAGCGCACGCAGGCGGAUUGUUAAGUCAGAUGUGAAAUCCCCGGGCUCAACCUGGGAACUGCAUCUGAUACUGGCAAGCUUGAGUCUCGUAGAGGGGGGUAGAAUUCCAGGUGUAGCGGUGAAAUGCGUAGAGAUCUGGAGGAAUACCGGUGGCGAAGGCGGCCCCCUGGACGAAGACUGACGCUCAGGUGCGAAAGCGUGGGGAGCAAACAGGAUUAGAUACCCUGGUAGUCCACGCCGUAAACGAUGUCGACUUGGAGGUUGUGCCCUUGAGGCGUGGCUUCCGGAGCUAACGCGUUAAGUCGACCGCCUGGGGAGUACGGCCGCAAGGUUAAAACUCAAAUGAAUUGACGGGGGCCCGCACAAGCGGUGGAGCAUGUGGUUUAAUUCGAUGCAACGCGAAGAACCUUACCUGGUCUUGACAUCCACGGAAGUUUUCAGAGAUGAGAAUGUGCCUUCGGGAACCGUGAGACAGGUGCCGCAUGGCUGUCGUCAGCUCGUGUUGUGAAAUGUUGGGUUAAGUCCCGCAACGAGCGCAACCCUUAUCCUUUGUUGCCAGCGGUCCGGCCGGGAACUCAAAGGAGACUGCCAGUGAUAAACUGGAGGAAGGUGGGGAUGACGUCAAGUCAUCAUGCCCCUUACGACCAGGGCUACACACGUGCUACAAUGGCGCAUACAAAGAGAAGCGACCUCGCGAGAGCAAGCGGACCUCAUAAAGUGCGUCGUAGUCCGGAUUGGAGUCUGCAACUCGACUCCAUGAAGUCGGAAUCGCUAGUAAUCGUGGAUCAGAAUGCCACGGUGAAUACGUUCCCGGGCCUUGUACACACCGCCCGUCACACCAUGGGAGUGGGUUGCAAAAGAAGUAGGUAGCUUAACCUUCGGGAGGGCGCUUACCACUUUGUGAUUCAUGACUGGGGUGAAGUCGGAACAAGGUAACCGUAGGGGAACCUGCGGUUG